rnacentral:lncRNA from 1 species
UUUGUAGCAAAUUUUUACAAUUCUUUGGUUUAAAUGACUUUGUGAGGGUCACCUAUACCGGAGUUGCCUUUUUGCUUUCUUUUAUUUUUUUGUUUUGCUGGAUCAUUCACUUAUUUGCAUCGGUCCCCUACGUAGAGGAUGCGUAGGCCGGAGCUGACUGCUGAGAUAAACUACUGAGGACUUAUACGGAAAUGAUGAUUAAGGCCAUGGUAUAUGGCGUUUCGGGAGUGGUUCCUAUAUUUACGAAGUCUAUGGUGCUAAAA